CCUACGGGAGGCAGCAGUGGGGAAUAUUGCACAAUGGGGGAAACCCUGAUGCAGCGACGCCGCGUGAGUGAAGAAGUAUUUCGGUAUGUAAAGCUCUAUCAGCAGGGAAGAAAAUGACGGUACCUGAAUAAGAAGCCCCGGCUAACUACGUGCCAGCAGCCGCGGUAAUACGUAGGGGGCAAGCGUUAUCCGGAUUUACUGGGUGUAAAGGGAGCGUAGACGGGAGCACAAGUCUGGAGUGAAAUGCCGGGGCUUAACCCCGGAACUGCUUUGGAAACUGUGCAGCUAGAGUGCAGGAGAGGUAAGUGGAAUUCCUAGUGUAGCGGUGAAAUGCGUAGAUAUUAGGAGGAACACCAGUGGCGAAGGCGGCUUACUGGACUGUAACUGACGUUGAGGCUCGAAAGCGUGGGGAGCAAACAGGAUUAGAUACCCGGGUAGUC
rnacentral:rRNA from 1 species